rnacentral:misc_RNA from 1 species
GAUGAAGAACGCAGCGAAAUGCGAUAAGUAAUGCGAAUUGCAGAAUUCCGUGAGUCAUCGAAUCUUUGAACGCACAUUGCGCCCGCCAGCAUUCUGGCGGGCAUGCCUGUUCGAGCGUCAUUUCAACCCUCGACCUCCCCUUGGGGAGGUCGGCGUUGGGGACCGGCAGCACACCGCCGGCCCUGAAAUGGAGUGGCGGCCCGUCCGCGGCGACCUCUGCGCAGUAAUACAGCUCGCACCGGGACCCCGACGCGGCCACGCCGUAAAACACCCAACUUCUGAACGUUGACCUCGAAUCAGGUAGGACUACCCGCUGAACUUAAGCAUAUCAAUAAGCGGAGGA